GAGCCAUGCAGUGUUAGAAUGGCAAGCUCAUGGUGAAUCUGUGGAUGGCUCAUUAUAUCAGUGAUUGUCCAACCAGAAGAGUGAGUGGCUUGCUCCGGCAGCCCAGCCAUGUGGAUACCUGUUUUAACAAGACAGCUAAUACAUGUCAGAGAUUCCUUCCACUAUCUGUUUGCCCUUUGUUGCAUCCAGAAGCCAUUGGUCACUUGUGAUCUCUCCAUUGUGGCACUGUGGUAGGAGCAGUGGGCCGCCAACAACAGACCACCACUGUCUAGUAGUGUAUCUUGUUGAAUCAGGCCCACUGUGUGUUUGUAUGCAUGCAAGAGCAAGAGCCAGUUGGUUGAUCCCUACCUACUGCAGUUCUGAAGGAAUUUCUGCCCUAUCAGCUUUCGAUGGUGUGAGAUUGUCCUGCCAUGGCCUCAACGGGUGACGGAGAACAAGGGUUUGAUUCCGGAGAGGGAGCCUGAGAAACGGCUACCACAGCCAAGGAUGGCAGCAGGCGCGCAAAUUGCCCAAUAUCAAUUCUCAUGAUGAGGCAGCGACGAAGAAUGACAACCUGUCUCGGACUUCAGUCCAAACAGGUUUUGUGAUGGGUGUUAUCCAAACCAAACAGCGAGUAUCAACUUGUGGGCAAGUCUGGUGCCAGCAGCCGCGGUAAUUCCAGCAUGAGAAGUGUAUACCAACAUUGCUGCUGUUAAAAAGCUCGUAGUUGACUGCUGAGGUGUUGAUUGAUAUUCUGCCCUUUUGAGUCUUGUAUUCCAAGAUGAAUCUGGGUAUGGAUGUUGUCCUCCCUCGCCAUACAUGGAACUGACCUCCCCACAGCAGCCUCCUUGAUUCUGGAGGCUAUUGGUGCCAUUGCAAUUGACUCAUGUCAGCAAAGGUGACUCUGUCACCUAUGGGAGCAUCCAUGGUUGUUACCAUGAACAAAACAGCAUGCCCAAAGUGGCUGACAUGUCGGUGGAAUGUCCUAGCAUGGAAUGACACGUGAUUGAUCAAGGAUGGCGUAGUUCUGCUGGCCUUAUCCCAUCCUAUGAGGAGUUACUGUGCUCCAUCACUGUUGUUUUCAUCAGUGGUGUCACAGCUUGCAGUACCAAUGGAAGAGCUCAGGGCUAUGGGCAUUAUGUGGCGAGAGGUGAAAUUCUCAGACCCGCUUGAGGCCAACUGAAGCAAAGGCACUUGGCAGAGUCAAGUUUAUCAAUCAAGAACGAGAGUGUGGGGAACAAAGAUGAUCAGAUACCGUUGUAGUCCACUGGCUGUAAACUAUGCCAGCUCGCCAUUGGAGGUGGAAUCUUGACUAGAACCCCUUCAGUGGCAUUUCCCCUGCAUUGAGAAAUCCAAGCCUGUGGGUUCAGGGGGGAGUACCCUUGCAAGAGGGAAACUUAAAGGAAUUGACGGAAUGACACCACAAGGUGUGGAGUCUGCGGCUUAAUUUGACUCAACACGGGGAAUGUUACCAAGCCAGCACAAGGUGAGGAUGGACAGGUUGAUCGCCCUUUCUUAAUUUCUUGGACGGUGGUGCAUGGCCGCUUACUGGUUGGUGGAGUGAUUUGUCUGGCUGAUUCCGUUAACGAGCGAGAUCAAGGCUUCCCAUUGGUGAUAGUCUCGAUUUGUAAGGUGUGUCCACUGUGCUGUUAGCUUCUGUUGACUGCAUGGUGUCUCACACCUGAGAGUACUAUAUCACAUUCUCAGAAGGCUGGGUUCGCUGCCAAGAGCCCACAUUCACUUGGCGACAGCAGGUCUGUGAUGCCCCUAGAUGCCUUGGGCUGCACGCGCACGACAAUGGUUAUGUGAUCAUGCUGAAAAACCCUCUUGUGUACUCAGCCUUGGUUGAUGUUGCACUUGGGGGCCUCCCUGGAAGUGGAUGGGCAACCAUUUGAACCAUAACCGCACUUGGGACAGGUGUUUGCAACUGUUUGCCUUGAACGAGGAAUACCUUGUAGGCUCCAGUCAUCAGCUGGAACUGAAUGUGUCCCUGCCAUUUGUACACACCGCCCGUCGUUGCUACCGAUGGUAUCAAGAUAGAGGCUAGAGGAGGCUUCGAGUCAAACCUAUGGUUUCUCCAGCUGAAUCUGUCCAAUGUCUUUGUACUAGAGAUAGCAAAAGUCGUAACAAGGUUGCUGUAGGUGAACCUG
rnacentral:rRNA from 1 species